UUCUUACAACAUUGGAUUGUUUUAAUUUCUUUUUGCAGUCGUUUAUAAUUCACACAGAAAAGUUUAUUCGAUUCCCUACUUUAUCUCAUAUAACAUGGGUCAUGUUCUUUUAAGCAAUGUACAUUGUAAUUAAAAUAGGAUAUUUGACGAUACCUUGCUAUAUCAAAGAUUUUUCUUUAGAUUUGGCGGGGUCUUCCAAGUGCUGAUGUUGAAUGUUCAUGCAGUUUACAUACCCUUCUUAAACACAUAUCAGACAGACUUAAAAUGAUUUAGAUCUAAUUCUUGAAAUGAAUAGUUAUUUCUGAGAUUUAUUUGGGCGUUUUAUAUUAAACUAAAUAAUGGAAUUUUUAGAAUAACUUUUUCCAGAAAAUACCCAAUUGUAAGUGUUUUCUCGCAAACAUCUUCAUGUCUUUCAGAUUACAAGAGAAAAAAUCUCGAAAAUGCUGAACCAAAAUCAUUAAAGAAGCAAAAAUUAGACGGGGUGCAGGAAAAGGGUACCGUUGGCAACCCAGUUCAGGUGGCAGAAGGGAAAGAUCCAACUACAGGGGUAAUAGCAGUAGGAAGCCAUGGUCUUUUCGCCAGUAGUCCACGUGCAAUAACGUACAGUACAUUUGGUCAAACAUUGGCAGCUUCCAGUCGGCAACAUGUUUUGGACGCAGAAAUGAAGAAUAUAGAUAUAAUUUCUUCUUAGAAUAGGCAUGGAUGGAUACUAAAGGACAAGAAACU